GAUGAACGCUGGCGGCGUGCCUAAUACAUGCAAGUCGAGCGAACGGACGCUAAGCUUGCUUCUCUGAUGUUAGCGGCGGACGGGUGAGUAACACGUGGAUACCCUACCUAUAAUACUGGGAUCACUUCGGAACAGCGGAGAUAAUACCGGAUAAUAUUUUGCACCGCAUGGUUCAAAAGUAAAAGACGGUCUUGCUGUCACUUAUAGCUGGAUCCGCGCUGCAUUAGCUAGUUGGUAAGGUAACGGGCUACCAAGGCAACGAUGCAUAGCCGACCUGAGAGGGUGAUCGGCCACACUGGAACUGAGACACGGUCCAGACUCCUACGAGAGGGAGCAGAAGGGAAUCGUCCGCAAUGGGCGAAAGCCUGACGGAGCAACGCCGAGUGAGUGAUGAAGGUCUUCGGAUCGUAAAACUCUGUUAUUAGGGAAGAACAUAUGUGUAAGUAACUGUGCACAGCUUGACGGUACCGAAUCAGAAAGCAACGGCUAACUACGUG
rnacentral:rRNA from 1 species